GGCUGAUCUGACGUAGUGGGUUAUCAGAACUUAACAUUAGUGCCACUAAAGUUUGUGUACAACUUCCACUGCUAAAUUUGACUGGCUUUUA
rnacentral:Y_RNA from 1 species